GACGUAGGGCGCGAGCGUUGUCCGGAUUUAUUGGGCGUAAAGAGCUCGUAGGCGGCUUGUCGCGUCGUCCGUGAAAACCUGCGGCUCAACCUCGAGACGUCGGCGGAAACCCUCUGGCUAGAGUCCGGAAGAGGAGAAUGGAAUUCCUGGUGUAGCGGUGAAAUGCGCAGAUAUCAGGAAGAACACCCGUGGCGAAGGCGGUUCUCUGGGACGGUACUGACGCUGAGACGCGAAAGCGUGGGGAGCGAACAGG
rnacentral:rRNA from 1 species